AAUCAACGCUGGCGGCGUGCCUCAGACAUGCAAGUCGAACGAUUAAGACUUCCUUCGGGAAGUGCAUAAAGUGGCGCACGGGUGAGUAACACGUAAGUAAUCUACCCUCGAGUGGGGAAUAACGUUCGGAAACGAACGCUAAUACCGCAUAACGCAGCGGCACCGCAAGGUGACAGUUGUUAAAGGAGCAAUCCGCUUGAGGAGGAGCUUGCGGCAGAUUAGCUUGUUGGUAAGGUAAUGGCUUACCAAGGCUACGAUCUGUAUCCGGUCUAAGAGGACGGUCGGACACACUGACACUGAAUAACGGGUCAGACUCCUACGGGAGGCAGCAGUCGGGAAUUUUGGGCAAUGGGCGGAAGCCUGACCCAGCAACGCCGCGUGAGGGAUGAAGUAUUUCGGUAUGUAAACCUCGAAAGAAUGGGAAGAAUAAAUGACGGUACCAUUUAUAAGCUCCGGCUAACUACGUGCCAGCCGCCGCCGUAAGAC
rnacentral:rRNA from 1 species